GGGGAAUAUUGGACAAUGGGCGCAAGCCUGAUCCAGCCAUACCGCGUGGGUGAAGAAGGCCUUCGGGUUGUAAAGCCCUUUUGUUGGGAAAGAAAUCCAGCCGGCUAAUACCUGGUUGGGAUGACGGUACCCAAAGAAUAAGCACCGGCUAACUUCGUGCCAGCAGCCGCGGUAAUACGAAGGGUGCAAGCGUUACUCGGAAUUACUGGGCGUAAAGCGUGCGUAGGUGGUCGUUUAAGUCCGUUGUGAAAGCCCUGGGCUCAACCUGGGAACUGCAGUGGAUACUGGGCGACUAGAGUGUGGUAGAGGGGGGUAGAAUUCCAGGUGUAGCGGUGAAAUGCGUAGAGAUCUGGAGGAAUACCGGUGGCGAAGGCGGCCCCCUGGACGAAGACUGACGCUCAGGCACGAAAGCGUGGGGAGCAAACA
rnacentral:rRNA from 1 species